UCCCUGGUGGUCUAGUGGUUAGGAUUUGGUGCUUUCACAGCUAUGGCCAGGGUUCAAUCCCUAGUCAGGGAG
rnacentral:tRNA from 1 species